AGCACACAGACGGCCAACGCAGAUUGCGGGAGCCAGCCGUGGUCAUCGCCCCUGAUGUGUUGCUGGUUGCCGGCCUGCCGCUCCACGCCAUGGAGGUUGCCACAAGUGUAGACUGUAGACGCGGUGGUGCCCUCUACAUGUUAGGUAUGCGUGCAGCAGGCAACCUAGAUGUUGUUGUGCUCUAACACAGCAGGGGCGACACACAAGAGCUAUCUGGCGUCUCAGUGACGACGAGCUUGCUGAACACGAGCAUGGCCGAUAUUCAGGCUACUACCGACACGGCCAGGAAGAAUUGGCAAUCUCUGAAUUGGAAUUUCUCAAUGAGGAAGGAGCACAGGAUGGCAUGUGGAGAGUACUCCUGGACACACUUGCAUAAGAGACUGGGCAGUUACGUGUAGCUGGAUCCAUCUCGGCGCAGAUCCUACUCAGUUCUAACGAGCCAUCCCUCUUGGUGUAUGUGCGCCACAGCUGCUUCGGUCAUUCUUUGUCUUGAAUGGAAGUUAUCUUUUUGUUGCUCCUACAGAUACCAUUCAUGCAGGAUUAAGAGGUUUCAACUCUACAAAUUUCUAUUCUGUUGUCUUUUUACUUAUUCCUGCAUUUUUUAUCUUAUGAAUCCAUUAUGUCCUAAAUGGAAUAAAAUGAACACUAUAUGACCUAUUUAGAAGUCUCUCUAACAGUUCCUCUCGGAUUGCCGUUUUCUCCGACUGCCUCUCCUGGACAUAUUUGUCUUUGUACUAAAGCAGAUGGCUGUGUCUAGGUCACAACGGCAAUGCAGACAACUUUGGUCAAGGAUGUCUGGUGGCGAUGCCAUCAAUGUAAGACCCGCGCGUGUCAUGGGCAUCUAGGAAGACAAAGAUUAAGAAAUCUAGAUGAAUUUGAUUUCAUCAUGGUCUGACUGUGAGGUACCAAUUGUAGCUGAUACGGUGUAGAUUUUUUCCCUCUCAGGCUCAUUACUGUGCUUAUUCGCACAAGGUAACAUCAGUGCAGCCGAGCGCCUGGUUCUUUGCAUUUGCAAUGGGAAAAAAGUAAGACCAGGGCAGCCGAGUACCUGAUUCUCUGCAUUCGCACAAUAUUCAGUCUCAGCGAGUUAUUUUAGGCAAACAUGAUUCACACUGCAGGGGUGACUUAUUUAUAAGUUUAGCACAUUUCAUUUUCAGUUAUGCUGUGUGAGCUUUAGAAUAUGCAUGCGUCUACGAAAAUCCAUGUAGUUAGAAGUUCUUAGUUGCUAUAUAAUUCGCUGCUGACAGAUAAUUUUCCUUUUUCUUUGUCAAUAGAAGCAAUUGAUCCAGAUUCAGGCGAGCUAAACAAAUACAACAAGCACUAGACUGCUUGAAUUUUUAUACAGCCUACUCUGAACUUCUCCAUAUUAGGUCACAAGCUCUGAAACAGUAAGCAAUAACAGCAAAAGCCAGGAAUCAGCCACUGCCCACAAAAAAAGGAACUUAACUUUACAACGACAUCAGCUGGAGUAAAUCCAUCGACUCCAGUCACUAGAAAUAAUGUGUAUGGUAUCAUGGACCUACGUGUUCUGUAAAAUUAAGUACUUAGCCAGCUAUAUACAGCUACCUUAGUUAUCCUACUGUCUUUUGAAACCUUCCACUAUGAUAUACUUUCAGGGUGUUGUAGUACAUGAUGCAGUACAUUAAUGCCUUAGGCAGUAAAUUAUUUUCCUAAGAAGCAGCAUAGUUCAAGAUGUGUAAAUAUUGCAGUGGAAAGUUUUAGACAGAAAGCUCGAGAUGAACACUGAAAAGUUACAAUAUAAAGGGCAAGGCAACUAACUUUGCCACCUAAGCUACUCUUACUUUCUA